CAAAACUUUCAACAACGGAUCUCUUGGUUCUGGCAUCGAUGAAGAACGCAGCGAAAUGCGAUAAGUAAUGUGAAUUGCAGAAUUCAGUGAAUCAUCGAAUCUUUGAACGCACAUUGCGCCCGCCAGCACUCUGGCGGGCAUGCCUGUCCGAGCGUCAU
rnacentral:rRNA from 1 species